GGGAACCUGUCCUUUAGGUUCGGAAAUAACUCAGAAGUAAAUUUGAGCUAACUACCGGAUAAUGUCUUCGGAACCAAAGUAUUUAUCCGUCCUUUAGAGUGGGCCCGCGUAAGAUUAGCUAGUUGGUGGGUAAAGGCCUACCAAGGCGACGAUCUUUAGCUGGUCUGAGAGGAUGAUCAGCCACACUGGGACUGAGACACGGCCCAGACUCCUACGGGAGGCAGCAGGUGGGGAAUAUUGGACAAUGGGCGAAAGCCUGAUCCAGCAAUGCCGCGUGAGUGAUGAAGGCCUUAGGGUUGUAAAGCUCUUUUACCCGAGAUGAUAAUGACAGUAUCGGGAGAAUAAGCUCCGGCUAACUCCGUG
rnacentral:rRNA from 1 species